UAGCUGAGCGGCUGAGAGAAGAAGGGUAUAAACCUGUGACGAGAGAGUUGAUGCUGGACCUGGAAGACGGGGAGAAAGAAAUUGUUGUUAGUCAGCACAGCGAGAAGCUUGCUGUAGCGUUUGGGUUGAUUCAUGGAAAACCAGGGAUGGUGAUUCGCAUUUUCAAGAACCUUCGGGUAUGUGAGGACUGCCACACUGCGAUGAAACUCAUUUCUAGGGUUUAUAAUAGGGAGAUUGUGAUGCGCGACAGAGUUCGUUUCCACUGCUUCAGAGAUGGAGAAUGCUCUUGUGGUGAUUAUUGGUAAAAGACCCGAGGUAUUUGGGAACUGCACAAUAGAAAUUUCUGCAUUCCAUUAAGAUAAAGAAGACGACGGGUGUUCAAAGUUCUAAACUUUACUGUUCACAAAUUUUGCAGCCUGCGAUGCAUAUUUUAUCCAACAGGCAAUCCAUACCUCUGACUUCGUAAGAUACCAGUAGGUUUCUAGAUAGUUAUCACCGCUGAGUGGGAAAGAUCUUUCAAGCUUCAACAAUGAUUCCACUGACUGGGAAGCAUCUCUGGUCAAAAUCUCAAGCAACGGGUUCCAUCAGGAACAUUCGAUUGUCGUUCUCCGUUGGGUGCUUGCUACGUGAGUAACUCGCAUAAGUUGGUGGAUAAAAUGAAAGUUGACAACGACUACGCUGUUAGGUUGGUUGACAAAGAGAACAGUCUCACUGAAUGGCCACCUCUACCAACAGUCUCACUGAGACGAAUUAUAUUCAAAUCCUGUGGCUGAGUUUAUUGGUUUUGUAACGAUAUCUGUUAGACAAGUCAGCUUUUCCACGGACUUUCGGACGGAAGUCAUCAUGAAAAUGUAAAAAAAAUAGUUGAAUAACAAGAAUGUUACUUUCUCAAAACUUUAGUGACCGAAAAUGUGUUUAACCAGCGUUUCAACAUUAAUGGGGAAUUACGAAACGGACA
rnacentral:lncRNA from 1 species